rnacentral:tRNA from 1 species
GGGAUGUAGCUCAGCUUGGGAGAGCGCUGCUUUCGCAAGGCAGAGGUCGCGGGUUCGAUUCCCGUCAUCUCC